rnacentral:rRNA from 1 species
UACGUAGGGCGCAAGCGUUGUCCGGAAUUAUUGGGCGUAAAGAGCUCGUAGGCGGCUUGUCACGUCGAUUGUGAAAGCCCGAGGCUUAACCUCGGGUCUGCAGUCGAUACGGGCUAGCUAGAGUGUGGUAGGGGAGAUCGGAAUUCUUGGUGUAGCAGUGAAAUGCGUAGAUAUCAAGAGGAACACCAGUGGCGAAGGCGAGUCUCUGGACAACACCUGACACUGAGGCACGAAAGCUAGGGGAGCAAACAGG